rnacentral:rRNA from 1 species
CAAUAGCGUAUAUUUAAGUUGCUGCAGUUAAAAAGCUCGUAGUUGGAUUUCGGGUGGGAAUGGCCGGUCCGCCGUUUCGGUGUGCACUUGCUACGCCCACCUUGCUGCCGGGGACGUGCUCUUGAGUUCACGCUCGGGACACGGAGUCGGCGAGGUUACUUUGAGUAAAUUAGAGUGUUCAAAGCAGGCUUACGCUCUGAAUACAUUAGCAUGGAAUAACACGAUAGGACUCUGGCCUAUCUUGUUGGUCUGUAGGACCGGAGUAAUGAUUAAGAGGGACAGUCGGGGGCAUUCGUAUUUCAUUGUCAGAGGUGAAAUUCUUGGAUUUAUGAAAGACGAACUACUGCGAAAGCAUUUGCCAAGGAUGUUUUCAUUAA